rnacentral:rRNA from 1 species
AUACGUAGGGGGCGAGCGUUGUCCGGAAUUACUGGGCGUAAAGGGUGCGUAGGCGGUCUGUUAAGUCAGAUGUGAAACUCCAUGGCUCAACUGUGGGCUUGCAUUUGAAACUGGCAGGCUAGAGUGCAGGAGAGGGAAGUGGAAUUCCUAGUGUAGCGGUGAAAUGCGUAGAGAUUAGGAGGAACACCAGUGGCGAAGGCGGCUUCCUGGCCUGUAACUGACGCUGAGGCACGAAAGCGUGGGGAGCGAACAGGAUUAGAUACCCUGGUAGUCCACGCCGUAAACGAUGGAUACUAGGUGUAGGGGGUCAUAGACCUUCUGUGCCGUAGUUAACGCACUAAGUAUCCCGCCUGGGGAGUACGGCCGCAAGGUUGAA